rnacentral:rRNA from 1 species
UACGGAGGGUGCGAGCGUUGUCCGGAAUCAUUGGGCGUAAAGGGCGCGUAGGUGGCCCAGUCAGCGUGCGGUGAAAGCUCGGGGCUCAACCCCGAGUCGGCCGUGCGAACUACUGGGCUGGAGCACUGUAGAGGCAGGCGGAAUUCCGGGUGUAGCGGUGGAAUGCGUAGAGAUCCGGAAGAACACCGGUGGCGAAGGCGGCCUGCUGGGCAGUAGCUGACGCUGAGGCGCGACAGCGUGGGGAGCAAACAGG